UAGUCUAGUGGUUAUGGCUAUGGAUUGCCAAUCCGGAGACGGCGGGUUCGAUUCCCGU
rnacentral:tRNA from 1 species